rnacentral:lncRNA from 1 species
CUCCUACUGGGUGAUAAUACUUUGUGACACACUUUGCAACUAUACUCUUCCCUUAACCUUGAAGAUUGGUUCUCACAAUGAUGAGCAACCUAAAAGCAAGACUAAUUCAAUUACAGAAUGAAAACUAGAUUGAUGCUCUGUUUGGAGAUUUCUAGCUUGUUCUCUCCUUCCUCCACUUCCAGCAAGGUAAGGUAAAGUGCAAGUACAGAAGACCAUCUCCCUGCUGACCUCUGCCUCCUGCAGGCAGUUUGCAGGUGGCAGCAUUUGUUUCCUCACUUCUCAUCUCUCCUUGUCUUUCAGCCAUGGGAAACUCUCGGCACAUGGUAUUUCUUCUCCCCACUCUUCUUGGAUCCAAAAUGCAAGCAACUCUGACGUGAGAGGCCACAGGAGGUAGUAGAGAAGUUUCAGUCUCAAUUGUCCUGACACAACAUUACUAAGGUGAGGCUGCUUUUUGAAAGUUAAUAUUUGGUAACAUUAUAACUCUGAUCUUACUGUGUCAGUAAAAUGGUUUAGACUAGAAAUAAGUUCCUAAAGUUUUAACUAAUGAAUACAGGUUUCAUAAACUUUUGUGAAUU